rfam:Bacillus glycinifermentans strain GO-13 contig_30, whole genome shotgun sequence.
GUCCCAGUAGCUCAGGUGGAUAGAGCAACAGCCUCCUAAGCUGUGUGUCGGGAGUUCGAAUCUCUCCUGGGACG